rnacentral:tRNA from 1 species
AGCGGGUGGCGUGCAGGGCACAAACGGGACUUGAAAUCCCGGCUACUGGCGAAACCGGUAAGAGUUCGAUUCUUUCACCCGCUACCA